CCUUCCUGUCUCAACUGGCAAACGAUGAUUUCCGCAUCUAAAUUUACACAAAGUAUAUAAAAAAUUAAAAGGCAAAGUCGACAAAUACUUUUCAAAUUUAAAUUCAGUCUUGAAAAUUCUAUAACAUAAACCUUUUGAAGAUUGGUGUAAAUCUGCACACCACUCUUGUCGAAAUUGGUCUUUAAGCUUUUGCUCAAUACUUAAUUUUAUCCAUUUUUUGUUAAAAUAAUCUUGGCAAUGCCAUACAUUUGACAUGCCACAUUCAUCAAAAAUUUUCUUAAUAC
rnacentral:lncRNA from 1 species